UACAGAGGUCUCAAGCGUUGUUCGGAUUCAUUGGGCGUAAAGGGUGCGUAGGCGGCGCGGUAAGUCGGGUGUGAAAUCUCGGAGCUUAACUCCGAAACUGCAUUCGAUACUGCCGUGCUUGAGGACUGGAGAGGAGACUGGAAUUCACGGUGUAGCAGUGAAAUGCGUAGAGAUCGUGAGGAAGACCAGUGGCGAAGGCGGCAUCCUGGACCAACACUGACGCUGAGGAGCGAAAGCCAGGGGAGCAAACAGG
rnacentral:rRNA from 1 species